GACCACCGCCUACUCCGCCUACCCCGGCGGCGAUGGCCUCCUCGAUGUCGCCACCGGCAAGGCCGCCACCCCCUUCGACUACGGCGCCGGCCACGUCGACCCCCCACGCGCCAUGGAGCCGGGCCUCGUCUACGACCUCACCGCCGACGACUACAUUGACUUCCUCUGCGCCCUUAACUACACCUCCCUCCAGAUCGCCGCCGUCGCCAAAAGAACCAACUACGCCUGCGAUGAUAAAAAGACCUACGCGGUCUCAGGACUCAACUACCCGUCCUUCGCGGUGGCGUUCGCGACGACGAGCGGGAACGGCGGCGGCGCUGAGACGGUGAAACACACGAGGACGUUGACAAACGUGGGGGAGCCCGGGACGUACAAGGCAACGGUGGCGACGUCGGUGACCGGCGGAGAGGUGAAAGUGGCGGUGGAGCCGGCGGAGCUGAGGUUCACGAAGGGGGGAGAGAAGCAAAGCUACACAGUGAGCUUCUCGGCGCCGUCGCUGCCGUCGGGAUCGCUCGGGUUCGGCCGUCUCGAGUGGUCCGACGGCAAGCACGUGGUCGCCAGCCCCAUCGCGUUCAGCUGGACGUGAGAUCAUAUCACGACAAG
rnacentral:lncRNA from 1 species